GGGAGUGGAAGGAGCUGCGAGGGCUUCUGGAGGAGCAGGAGCAGCUGCUGCUGUCCUGGCUGGAGGAGCUAGAGAGAGCCAUUGUCCAGAGAAGGGAUGAGGGCGUCUGCAGCCUGUAAUGGGAGAUUUCCCUGCUCAGCGAGAGGGGAGGAGAGAAGCGGCAGCAGCCGCUGAGCCAGUCCCUGCAGGGUGCUGGGAGCACUGGAGGCAGCAGGGAGGACAGGAAGUUUCGGAAGCCAGAGCUGUCGUUUGCAGAGCUGGAGAAGAGACUCAGCGAUUUCUGUCUAAAAAGUGCCAUGCUGUAGGAGGUGCUGCUGGGAUUCAAAGGUGAGUUGCAGUCUAGGGGUGGCGUCUACUCUGGUUAGAGUGACCCUGGGGAGGUGUCGGGAACUCUAGUGAUGUCACGGAUCCUCGGCUCCAUCUCACAGCCCAGCUCAGUGAGUCGCCCUUCCCCAUGGAGCAGCCCUGCGGGGCUGGCUCUGUCUGCAGCGGCUGCAUUAUCGGC